CAGCUUUGUACAGCUUCGUCCUCUCUUCUACUAAGUGCUCCAGGUUCCGUGAAUACAUCUGCAGACGUCGGAUUAAGACAUGCAUGUUCUUCCUAUCAAAUGAUAAUAAAACAUCUAAUUUCCAGAAAGAUUACAGAACCAUUUUGACAGAAAGAUGCCUCCUCACAAGAAGAGAUACCUAAGAAUGCAUGAUCCCAAAGCAGACUGUUUUUCUUCCCAUCAUGGAAUAUUAAAACAACACUCCCCCUGAUUUUCAGAAUCUUCUUUCCUCACUCAUCCAACCUAAAUCAUGAAUUCUCAAGCCAUCAAAACCACUUUUUGUCAUACUGUCUCAGGGGCUUCUGGUUUUACCUUUCAAUCUAGUUCUGCAAUCCACAGUAAUACAUGCCCCCAUCUAUCGGCGUGUGAUGGGUUGCUGCUGGUUGUGGGCACGUAGGAAAAUGCACUAGUACAGAACUAGAUGUCCAUCUAAACCAGUAGUGUAUACGUCUACCACCACAUUCUUCAUAGCAACCUGGUAUACCCUGCAUUUUGCAUAUACUCUGUGAUGUACCUUUAGAACACAAUUUGGCAAGUUGUGGUCUUUCAGAUAUUGUUGGGUUGCAAUGUCCAGCAAGCCCAGCCACCAUAGCAAAUGAUACCGGAGGAUAGGAAUGUAGCUCCAGAACAUCUGGAGUGCUACAAGGUGCUCAUCCCUGACACAGAGCCUUAGUCUUAAAGUUCAACAGUGGAUUCAUCCAGCUGGAGCAUUUGUUCCUCCUCACUGAGUAGCAAAUGCUGUAACUUACUGCCAACUGACUGCAUUUCUGUCUAUAUUUUUAUUCUUAAAAUCCCAUUUCUUUUCUAAGAAGUCAGUGUAUCUUUAAGAAACAGAUCAAAAUAUUAUUAAACCUUGGAAAAUGCUUGUAAAAACCUUUAAAACCCUGUGACACAAGAGUGUCCCUGGAACUUUCGCCCCUUUGCUUUAAAUAGAUCUACACUACAUUUAAAGCAACUGACACUGGCAGAUAUCUGCUGCUCAUUCACCUCAGAAAUAAUCUGUCUUCAAAAAUAGUGCUUCUAAAAAUGUGGAGGAAACAAAUUGCCUGCUGGAUUUUUGUAGGGUUUUGGAUUGUGUAAGUGAAAUACUGCAAAACUGAAUCUUCUGAAACAGCAGACAUUCACUGUUAAUCCACUUUGGAAAU